rnacentral:rRNA from 1 species
UACGUAGGGGGCAAGCGUUGUCCGGAUUUAUUGGGCGUAAAGAGCGUGUGGGCGGCCAGAUAGGUCCGUUGUGAAAACUCGAGGCUCAACCUCGAGACGCCGAUGGAAACCAUUUGGCUAGAGUCCGGAAGAGGAGAGUGGAAUUCCUGGUGUAGCGGUGAAAUGCGCAGAUAUCAGGAAGAACACCCGUGGCUAAGGCGGCUCUCUAGUACGGUACUGACGCUGAGACGCGAAAGCGUGGGGAGCGAACAGG